rnacentral:rRNA from 1 species
CCAUGGGGGAACCCUGAUGCAGCGACGCCGCGCUGGAGGAAGAAGGUCUUCGGAUUGUAAACUCCUGUUGUUGGGGAAGAUAAUGACGGUACCCAACAAGGAAGUGACGGCUAACUACGUGCCAGCAGCCGCGGUAAAACGUAGGUCACAAGCGUUGUCCGGAAUUACUGGGUGUAAAGGGAGCGCAGGCGGGAAAACAAGUUGGAAGUGAAAUCCAUGGGCUCAACCCAUGAACUGCUUUCAAAACUGUUUUUCUUGAGUAGUGCAGAGGUAGGCGGAAUUCCCGGUGUAGCGGUGGAAUGCGUAGAUAUCGGGAAGAACACCAAUGGCGAAGGCAGGUCUCUGGGCCGUCACUGACGCUGAGGAGCGAAAGCGUGGGGAGCGAACAGGAUUAGAUACCCUGGUAGUCCAAGGGCGAAUUC